rnacentral:antisense_RNA from 1 species
UAUAGUCCCAAAUAAUUCCUGGAUUAAGAGUUGGAGAGCUGACUAGCCGUACCUCAUCUAUACUGGAAUCAUAAAGACCGCCAAAGAAUUGGGCCUUGAUAACGAAUAACAAUGCACCCAAGCCCAAAAUGCUUAGGUGAUGCCCUAAGAUAAAGCCUAAUUUUCGAGCAUCUUGCCA